UCUUUGAAUAACCGCUUACCC
rnacentral:piRNA from 1 species